CCAAGACUAUGGAGUUGUGGGGUUUGCUGUUUUAUUAGGUCUUUAGCCUCUUCUCUCAAAAACUGCUGGUGCCUCACCAAACUACAAAUCCCAGGGUUCCAUAGUAUUGAGUCAUGGCAGUUAAAGUGGUGUCAAACUGCAUUAAUUCUACAGUAAAGUAUGCACCCACAGUGUCAUCACAGGAGGAUGAUUGUACAACUCCAAGGUCCCUUCUACAUUGUCAUAUAAUCCAGAUUAUCAAAUCAGACAAUCCACAUUAUUUACUUUGAACUGGAUUAUCUGAGUCUACACUGUCAUAUAAUCCAGUUCAAAGUAGAUAAUCUGGACUUUAUAUGGCAGUGUAGAAGGGGCCCUUCUACACAGCCAUAUAACCCAGAAUAUCAAGGCAGAAAAUCCUACAAUAUCUGCUUUGAACUGGAUUAUCUGAGUCCACACUGCUGUAUAUUCCAGUUCAAAGCAGAUCAUGUGGGAUUUUAUACAGCUUAUGUGGAAGGGUCCUAAAAUUUUGAUUUCCCUCUCCUUUUGUAUCUCUGUCCAUGGUGCUGGAAGAAACAGGGGAACAGGUACUCAAGUUUUAGUGAUGUUUCUAAUCCUAACAAAUAAUAAUGCUGGAAAAAAGAAGGAGGGCAAUGCUGACCAUUAAACACAAUCCCAAACCCUGGGUCUGUUUAGCCUGAUAAACAUAGCACCAUUAUGUGUUUUAUAGUUUAAAUGAAGAUGCCAUUGAGGAUUUACAUACUGGCUUUAAAUUGUUUAAUACAUAUCAGAUCGCAGUUAUUAAUGACAUAUAUCCACCCAGAUUCCCAUUUAUUCUAGAUUCCUAUUCCUUAUAAGAUCCAGACAGGCAUUUAAAGUUAAAGCGGAGGAGGUAGUGUAGAAUUGAAAGAACCCUCAUUUUUACCUAAUUUUGUAAUUUUUUUCUUUAUUUUAAUUAAUUAUUAUUUAUGGUUUAUACUGUUAAUGUGUUAUAAGCUGCUCCGAGUCCCCUCGGGGAGAUGGAGUGGGGUACAAAUAAAGUUGUUGUUGUUGUUGUUGUUGUUACAGUAUUAUUAUUUUCCUCAACUUGAAGGUUUGCUUUUAAAAAUUGUGUGACACCAAAUACACAUACAGAAACAGGCAGUGGUGGUGUGAAUUGUUCUUUCUCUUUAAAAAAUAAUAGAGGGGGGACUAAAUUCCUUUAUGGGUAACCUUUCAACGGUUGCAUAUUCUGGAGACCAGGACUGAAAUCCCUGCUUGGCCAUGGAAAUCUACUGGGUGACCUUGGGUAGGUCACACACUCUCAGGCUCAGAGGAAGGCCAAGAAAACUCAGUGAUAUGUUCACCUUUGGGUCACCACAAGUCAGAAGCUACUUGAAGACACACAGUAGCAGCAACAACUCAGAACAGUUGUCCCAGGACUAAUGCCGGAUUCUGACUUCCAGAAGUGAAACAGCUGUACCCAAUGAGCACAUAGUAUGGUGCAAGUGACCCUCCCUCAACAUAUAUUCUGAGAAAUUCUGGAUUAGAUUAGAGCCAAAUACAGGGAUAUAGCAGGUGAGGCUGCUACCUUCUCAAUUUCUUUUACCUCAUUUUCUGUCUUUUCUCUGCUGCUCUUCUUUCUCUUUCCUCUCUUUCCUCCCUUAUAUAACCAAUGUAAAUAACUUUACCCUACAGUAAUUAGGUUUUCUUUUCAGGGAGUGGUGGGGUGGAUGGAGAGAUAUCCAUUAACACUUUUUAAAAAACCACCUUGCCACAGAUAAGAAGCCUAUUUCAUAGUGGUUCAGUGAAUUUGCAAACAUGAUCACCUUGCCUUUCCACUCACAAUAUCUCCACCAGUCGUCUUUGUACAGGAAUGUGACUUAUGGAAGGUAAUGCCACACAUUGAAGUUUUCUAAGGUGGAAAAGAGAGAUGCAUCUACACUAUAGCUUUAGUACAUUUUACACAACUUUCAUUCCCAUGUCCCAAUGCUAGAGACUUCUGGGAGUGGUAGUUUUACAAGGUGUUUAGCCUUCUUUGCCAAACACCCAGAGCCCAGUGCCGAAACCCUGGGUACAUCUAAACUGUAGAAUUAAUGCAGUUGACACUACUUAACUACUUAAGAGCUGCGGUGGCGCAACCCUUGUGUUGGCUGAACUGCUGACCUGAAGGUUGGCUUGCUGACCUGAAGGUUGAUAGUUUGAAUCUACAAGACCAGGUGAGCUCCUGUCUGUCAGCUCUAGCUUGUGGGGACAUGAGAGAAGCCUCCCAGCUAUCAUAUCUGGGCAUCCCCUGGGCAACAUCUCUGUAGUUCUCAAGUCACUUCUGACACAAUAAAAAACUUAACUACAAUGGCUCAAUGAUAUGGAAACCUGGGAUUUGUAGUUUAGUGAGGCACCAGCACCUUUUUGCAGAGAGGACUAAAGAUCUUGCAAAACUGCCAUGAUAUCAUAACACUAAAUCAAAGUAGUAUCAAACUACAUUCUACAAUGCAGAUGCAGCCCAUGUCUUUGAAUAACAGGGAACACACUGCUGCCACUAUAAUUUAAAUUUUGUGUAUUAGGUCAUGUCCAGUCCGUCCAAUCCCAGAUGCUUAGACCUCAACAGAAUAAUCUCUCUCUCACUUAGUAGCAUACAGAUCCCAUAUAGCAGGACUUUUCUUGUGAGCUUGGCCUUUACAGCUAAUCUGCUAUUGCUAGGGGUGAUAUCCCACUGCUAUUUCUCUGCAAUUGCUUUAGUGACCUACAAGUCCAACAAGCUGCAGUAAUAGGCUAAGGUUUGCUAUACCACUGUUUACAUUCUGUUUGUUGAUUUGGAUUUUAAAGCAAAACAUCAUCAUUAUGGGAAUGUUUGGCUUUUCUUACAACCAUCAGAUUCUUCUUCUCUCCUUUUUCACUCAGUUAAGUCAAGGAAACAAUAAAUAAGUAGCCCUUUAAUGGACUUGGUAAAUAAAUUAAGAUUGCAGCAGAGCAAAACAGAACAGCUGUGAAGUCAUUUCAGGCAAAGGGAAGACCAUAUAAUCCCCUAUGGCUUAGAGGUCAAACAGAUUUCUUUUAAAAAAAUCACACGAGAUCUCAUUGAAGUUUUGGCUUUGACAAAGAUCUUGUUGACAUCCCCAAAUGAAAAAUGCAGUGUUUUUUUUAAAAAACAUACUAGAUUCGUUGACAGAGAGAAACAAAUGGGAGGUCAGGAAAUCAAAGACAGAAGUGCAGAGAACCCAGAAUGCUCCAGGAUGACACAUCACUAGCAAUCGGAACAAAAUGCAAAUGGAGGAAUACUAUGGUGAUCCAUCACACAGAAAACACAAUGAUACUGACAUGUGGCUUAUUGUUAUCUGUCUCCAAAAUUUGAUAGGCUUCAGAAGGAAACCUGAUGGGAACCCAUGCAGCAACUACAAUAUGAAAGGAGCAUUGUGAGAUGGUGGGUGUUUGUUCCUGUUGGAAACACUAAAAAAGUAUGUGUUCAAACAACAUGGGAUGACGUCCUGAGUCUCUUUGUAGUGAAAGGGGAUUGGAUUAUGUUUGUGUUCAAUUGUGUUUAUGACCAAUGGUAUGGAGCUAAAUUUACUCCUUUACCCUCCUAGUCGUAUCACUGGAUUAGCUGAAGUUGCCACUGUAGGAGUAGCAACUAACACCAGGAAGGUUUGAGAAGAUUAUGUGGAGGGAGAGUGAAGAAUAAUUGAGAACUAUUAUAGUUCAUUGUUGUGCAGCAAGAGGAGCACUCUGUCAGGACAUUAGUGCCUGUAGUCCACAGAAUACAACAUGCCUGAUUAUGGGUUGCUUCACUGGAUGCCAACACGUUUCACAGCACAAUUUAAAGUGCUGGUUUUGAUCUACAAAGCCCUACAAGGCACUGGUCUGUUAUCUGAAGGACUGUGUCUUUUUCUAUGAACUUGGUAGACAUCUACAGCCAACAGGAGAGGGCCUACUCUCUGUCCCACCACCUGCUUAUGCACAUUUGGUGGGACCACGGGAGAGGGCCUUUUCGGUGGCUGUUCCCUGACUGUGGCACUCCUUCCCAAGGGAAUCUAGAUUGACCUGGGAGGGGGGGAUGUUAUGAGUUUUAAAGGCUAUUUUAAUUGUGUUUAUUAUAUUUUAAUCUGUUUUACCCUAAUCCACAUUGUAUUAUUUAUUUAUUUUAAUUGUUGUAUUGCACUUUUUAAAACUAUGACCAAAAUGUAGAUUGUUAGCCACCUUGAGUCCCCACAGGAAGAAAGGUGUGGGGUAUAAAUAAAGGAAAUAAUAACAAUGACAA